GACCGCUUAGCUCAGUGGUAGAGCGUGUGAUUCCAGCUUACGUAAAUCGCUUACGUAACGGAGUCCACAAGGUCGUCCGUUCAAUCCGGGCAGUGGUCA